rnacentral:lncRNA from 1 species
UUAAACACUACAAUACAGUAUAUAUCCAUUAAAAAAAGAAAACUCUAUUGUGUAUAUAAAUUAUUCCUUCCAUUCAUCAAUUCUUUUCUUUUCCAUUACAGCUUUGGUACAAUGUGAUUGCAGUGAUGAAUUCAUGUCACUAGCUAAGCUAGAAAGGCAUACCUAGCGGACAUGACGGAAAUAUGCACCAUUAACCAGCUAACGUGUGGAUUAGUCUUUUUUUUUUACAGAAUACCAGCAGCAGUCAUUUGGGUGUGGAGUGAAUACUUAAGUCCUCAGCGAGUUUGCCCACC